UUACAAGCCAUAAGAGCCACAAGAGCUACCUAAGGACAAAGCACCAUGGACUUCCCUCUUCUACUGGAGGACCUUUCUAGAUAAUGUGAUAGAUUUCACUGGUCAGUUUUAAUCCCUUGCCUGUAUAGCACAGUGGUGGGCUAUGUAGCCAUUUCUAACAGGAGGAGGCACACCCACUUGUCUUAGUCACUUUUCUUUUGCUAUGAAGAGACACCAGGAGCAAAGCCAUCUUCACUUCAGGGCUCACCCUAGUGACACACCUUCUCCAGCAAGGCCACACCUCCUACUCCUUCCUAAACAGUCCACCAACAUUCAAAUAUAUGACCCAUGGGGCCAAGUCUCAUUUGGGGGCAAGACCACAUUAUACUCUCUGGCAUUUAUGGGCUUAUAAUACAAAAUCUAUUUAAUCUAACCUCUAAAGUCCCCUUAGCCUGUCACAGUCUGAAGAUUUUUUAUAGUGCAGGAUUUUUUUUUUAUUAUUUAUUUAUUUAUUUAUUUUUGGAGACUCAAGAAAAUCUCUUAACUCUAAUUUUAAAGAAUACAAAAGCAAAUUUCACAUAAUCAACAUACAAUGACACUACAGAAUACACCGUGGUGGUUUAAAUAGGAAUGGUUCCCAUAGACUUGUGUGUGGCUUUUUUGGAAGAAGUGUGUCAAGGGGGUGGGGGAGGAGCGGGCUUUAAACUUUUACAUGCUCAAGCUCUGCACACUGUGAUCCAUGUUCUCUUUGUCCUACCUGAUCCAGACAUGGUCUUUGACCUCCUUCUCCAGCACCAUGUCUGCCAGUAUGGUGCCAUUCUUCCAGCCAUGACCAUAAUGUACUAAACCUCUGAAACUGUAAGCCAGCCCCAAUUAAAUGUUUUUCUUUAUAUGAGUUGCCAUGCUGAUCUGAGGACCCCAGCACAUAUGUAGCAGAGGGCUGUCUCGUCUGACCUCAGCGGGGAAGGAUGAACCUCAUCCUAUAGCGGCUUUGCUGCCCCGGGGCAGGGGGAUACAGAGGGGUGGGGGUGAAGCACCCUCAGCAGUAAAGGAGAGGUAGAAGAUGGAGGGGUCAGCAUUGGGGAUGUAAAUAAGUAAAAUAAUUAAUUUAAAAAAAAAAGAGUUACUAUGAACAUGGUGUCUCUUCACACCAAUAAAACCCUUACGAAGACCACUAUUAUCACCCCCCCCCCAAAAAAAGGAAAGGAGACACAGUGAGGAAAUAUUGAGCAGAAGCAAGUCAGACAUCCUGUGGGACAAACUCCAAACCUAGUAACUGUUAGAUUUCAAGAAAAGGUAACAGGCUCUUAGGAUCUCCCAAGUCCUUCCGCUCUGCUGAAUAUUACAUGAUUCUCCUGGGCUGGUCCCAUGCCAUGUUUUGUUUGUAGCUCUCAGCAGGUGCCCCAGACCCAUGGCUUUGCUGUCUCCAACACCCUGUGGUCCCUAGUGUCUCCAGGCUGGCUUUCUGCUGGCCUCUCACUGCAGGGGUUCCAGCCCUCUACCUGACCUCACAGCUCCCUUAGUUACUCACAGAUGAAGAUUUCAAAACUUCUUUACUCCUGCGUCUUUGACUCUAAAUCCAGAACUGCUUUGGCGUUCCUUCUGCUUAGCCUAGAACCUGGCCCCGCCCAGAGCUGCACCUGCAUAAGCUUCUGGCACAGUUGGUUGUCAAGAGGGGGCUGUCCCUGGGCUCUUCCCUUUCACAAGUUGCAGGGUUAUCUGGGUGGGGUGGUUCUUGCGCUGAAGGACCCACUCACUCUCUUUAUGCCGUUUAUCACCAGGCUCCAGUAGUAAAUAUCCUGCUGCUCUUGUUCUAGAUGAGUAGUUUGUAUUUCCUGUGCUAUGCUUGCUCUCAUUGUAGAUCUGCAUAAGAUGGUUAUUAAUAGCCACUUGACAUACUCAAUAGUAGGUAGUACUAAAAUCCCCUUUGGUUAUAUUAAUUCAAAUCUCUUCCAUUUAGCCUUAGGCAGAUUCUAAAGAGACAGGCAGGAAAGAAGCCACAUUCUUUGUCAAAAUAUCACAAGAAUGGACUUUAGACAAUCCCCUCUGAAACCUUGAGUUGGGCCUCCACCUUGCUCUCCUUGGCACUACUACCUUCCAUGCUCUUGGAUUACUCUUUGCUUAGAAUAUUCUACUUUCCCUAAUCCAAAGUACCCCAAAGCAGCAUGAUCAGGCCUGUCAGAGCAACAUUCAAGUUCCCGGUACUAACUUUGUCAUAGUUUUGUAUCGAUGUGAAGAGAAACCAUGAUUAAGGCAACUUAGAAAAGAAAGCAUUUAAUUGGGGGCUUGCUUAUAAUCUCAGAGGGUGAGUCUAUGACCAUCGUGGUGUGGAAACUUCAUGGCAGCAGGCAGAAGACAUGGUUUGGAGAAGUAGCUGAGAGCUACAUCUUAUGCACAAGUAUCAGGCAUAGAGGGCAGGGAUGAGAUUGACUGGGACUGGAAACCUCAAAGCCCAUCCCUGGAGAUACACCUCCUCCUACAGGACCAUAAUCACAAUCCUUGCUAAAUAAUUCACCAGCUGGGAACCACACUUUCCAUCACUGAGCUGCAUGUGUGGGUGGUGGGCAUUCUCAUUCAAACUACCACACGCCUCCAGCUGUUCUCAGCAGACACUGGGCAUGGGUGCCAGCCAUCCCUCAGCCUCGGGAUUUGUAAAGGCUGUUGCCUGAGCUCAUCUCCUCACACCUGUUUCCUAAGGAGAAGCUGUACUAGGACUAGGGGUUAAUAUCACUGCAGAUCUCACUACCAUAGGUGUGGUGAGCAAGCAAGAUGAGGACUGAAGGGACACUGGAUGCUUCCUCAUGUCCUUGGCGCUGCCACCUCUCUGAGGUCUGAGUCAGGAGGGUCUCCUAAGUCUUCUUGUGAAUUUGUGUCUACCUCUUUUGGGUUUAUCUCGCCAUCUCUCAGAGCCUUUAAGAAAAAUUACAUAUCUCCCUCGAAUCCCAAGCAAGGUGAGUAGGAACACAUGUUUGAACUCACACUCUUUGGAUCAUAAUAUGUACAUGCUGUUCUACUUCUGCAAGUUGGAGAAAAAAUGUUUAUGUUGUAAAAAGAUCAUUUUUCCAUGUUGUCUUGAUUUUGACACAGUCUCUGGUUAAAUGGGAGAGAUAUAAAGAUGACCUUCUAAAGUAUCUAAAUCAGGAAGAUAGAUACUGCCUUUGUAUAUAAUAUAUGCUGUUCUUUACUUUUAUUUCUUAUGUAGGGAAAUCACUGCCAUUUGAAACUGUGUGUUUCAUGUUUUACAUGGAGAGGUACUACCUGUGGUAGCUCCUGAGCCUUCACUACUAACUAUACUAACUAUACUAUUACUAACUAUACUAUUCAUUCCUAACUAUACCUUACCAGAGUUCAGUUAGACUUAACGGACUUUUGUGACCUUUUCCUUCCACAUCUUGAUAGUUGAAGAGCUUUUCCAUGGUUGUCUUCAUGGGGCAUUGUACUUCCCAAGGCGCCAGCUGCUUGCCUCCUCCUUCCCUGCAGAGGAGGCAGGAGAGAAGCAGCAGGUGCCACUUGCCAGUGCCCUGGAUCAUCACCUUUCUCUGUCAACAGUUCUUCCUUCCUUGUAAAAUUCUGAUGGCUGUGUGCAGUGUAUGUAGAUUCAGGGAAACGGAGUGAAGAAACUCACU
rnacentral:lncRNA from 1 species